rnacentral:rRNA from 1 species
CCUACGGGUGGCAGCAGUGAGGAAUAUUGGUCAAUGGACGAGAGUCUGAACCAGCCAAGUAGCGUGAAGGAUGACUGCCCUAUGGGUUGUAAACUUCUUUUAUAUGGGACUAAAAUGUUCCACGUGUGGGAUUUUGUAUGUACCAUAUGAAUAAGGGUCGGCUAACUCCGUGCCAGCAGCCGCGGUAAUACGGAGGAUCCGAGCGUUAUCCGGAUUUAUUGGGUUUAAAGGGAGCGUAGGUGGAUUGUUAAGUCCGUUGUGAAAGUUUGCGGCUCACCCGUAAAAUUGCAGUUGAAACUGGCAGUCUUGAGUACAGUAGAGGUGGGCGGAAUUCGUGGUGUAGCGGUGAAAUGCUUAGAUAUCACGAAGAACUCCGAUUGCGAAGGCAGUUCACUGGACUGCAACUGACACUGAGGCUCGAAAGUGUGGGUAUCAAACAGGAUUAGAUACCCUUGUAGUC